rnacentral:tRNA from 1 species
GUGCCCAUAGUUUAGUGGUAAAACUCUAGCCUGUGGAGCUAGUAAUGAGAGUUCGAUUCUCUCUGGGCACC